CCUACGGGGGGCAGCAGUGGGGAAUAUUGGACAAUGGGGGCAACCCUGAUCCAGCCAUGCCGCGUGUGUGAAGAAGGCCCUCGGGUUGUAAAGCACUUUCAGUGAGGAAGAACGCCUGGUGGUUAAUACCCAUCAGGAAAGACAUCACUCACAGAAGAAGCACCGGCUAACUCCGUGCCAGCAGCCGCGGUAAUACGGAGGGUGCGAGCGUUAAUCGGAAUUACUGGGCGUAGAGCGCGCGUAGGUGGCUUGAUAAGCCGGUUGUGAAAGCCCCGGGCUCAACCUGGGAAUGGCAUCCGGAACUGUCAAGCUAGAGUGCAGGAGAGGAAGGUAGAAUUCCCGGUGUAGCGGUGAAAUGCGUAGAGAUCGGGAGGAAUACCAGUGGCGAAGGCGGCCUUCUGGACUGACACUGACACUGAGGUGCGAAAGCGUGGGUAGCAAACAGGAUUAGAUACCCUUGUAGUC
rnacentral:rRNA from 1 species